rnacentral:sRNA from 1 species
AAAAAUUUCUAACGAUGAAAUAAUCUAAUAUAUCAAGUAGUAUAAAAUCUUAUUAAAAGACUCUAGAAGAGCAUAUACAUUGUUUUCUAUGGGAAUACAAAAUUAAAAUCAUCGAUGCGGUAUAGUUCUCCAAAUCUCAAAGUUAAUAUGAUGAGAUAUAAAUACAUUAUGAUUCUAGAGUGGAAUUCAAUACGAGAUGGAUGAACUUGAAGUUUCAUCAUUUCGAGGAGGAGAAGUAAUGAAUCUCACAUGGAUAAUAAGUGACAUAUUUAGAAGAUUAUGUUCAAUCUUUGACUACUAAAGAUCUAAAAGUUGUAUAAAGCAAUUCUUAUACGAAUGUGUUAUUAGAUAAAAUAAGUUAUAAUUAGUUAUUACUAAAACAUCAAGACUUGAAGUCUCUUUGUGAAUAUAACUCACAUUGUUAAGAGAAUAUCUCUGAUGCGGAGAUGGUAAAACAGACACUUAAACUUUUACGCAAGUAUUGUUGUCUUGUAGACAUAAUAUUUUGAAAGAAAUUUUGAGAACUAUUAUAAACUUAAAUCGAGUGUUUUUCAAAGGCUAAGAAAACAUAUGAGUUAUCUAUGAUAAGUAAUACUCAUAUUCUGAAGUGAAUAUAAGAUCUUACAUAGUUAGUCAAAUUUAAUAUCGUUUAUACUAGAAUAUAAAAUUUUAAUUAUUAUCUCGUUAUUGUUUUAUUAACAUAUGAUUGAUUAUUAAAAUACAUGGAAGUAAUUUUGAUUAUAAGAUCUCAUUAAGGGAGUAACUGAUAAGCAAUGAAAAGUAAAUUAGAAGUUUUGAAAGAACUAGAAGUUUCAAAA